GACGAACGCUGGCGGCGUGCCUAAUACAUGCAAGUCGAACGCUUCUUUUCUACCGAGUGCUUGCACUCACUUGAAAAGAGGAGUGGCGGACGGGUGAGUAACACGUGGGUAACCUACCCAUCAGAGGGGGAUAACACUUGGAAACAGGUGCUAAUACCGCAUAAUAGUCGACAUCGCAUGGUGUUGAUUUGAAAGACGCUUUCGGGUGUCACUGAUGGAUGGACCCGCGGUGCAUUAGCUAGUUGGUGAGGUAACGGCUCACCAAGGCCAUGAUGCAUAGCCGACCUGAGAGGGUGAUCGGCCACACUGGGGACUGAGACACGGCCCAGACUCCUACGGGAGCAGCAGUAGGGAAUCUUCGGCAAUGGACGAAAGUCUGACCGAGCAACGCCGCGUGAGUGAAGAAGGUUUACGGAUCGUAAAACUCUGUUGUUAGAGAAGAACAAGUAGGAGAGUAACUGCUCUUACCUUGACGGUAUCUAACCAGAAAGCCACGGC
rnacentral:rRNA from 1 species